GCCGGGCGCCUGUAGUCCCAGCUACUCGGGAGGCUGAGGCUGGAGGAUCACUUGAGCCCAGGAGUUCUGGGCUGUAGUGCGCUAUGCAGAUCGGGUGUCUGCACUAAGCUAGGCAUCAAUAUGGUGACCUCUUGGGAGCGGGGGGCCACCAGGUUGUCUAAGGAGGGGUGAACCGGCCCAGGUCGGAGACGGAGCAGGUCUAAAAUCUAACAUUUGUAAAUAUUGACAAAGAUACAGAAAAACAGAGGUAGUAGAAAGUCCUGUUCUUGUGCAGGAGUCUCAGCUACCA
rnacentral:SRP_RNA from 1 species